GACGAACGCUGGCGGCGUGCUUAACACAUGCAAGUCGAACGGAAAGGCCCUGCUUUUGUGGGGUGCUCGAGUGGCGAACGGGUGAGUAACACGUGAGUAACCUGCCCUUGACUUUGGGAUAACUUCAGGAAACUGGGGCUAAUACCGGAUAGGAGCUCCUGCUGCAUGGUGGGGGUUGGAAAGUUUCGGCGGUUGGGGAUGGACUCGCGGCUUAUCAGCUUGUUGGCGGGGUAGUGGCUUACCAAGGCUUUGACGGGUAGCCGGCCUGAGAGGGUGACCGGCCACAUUGGGACUGAGAUACGGCCCAGACUCCUACGGGAGGCAGCAGUGGGGAAUAUUGCACAAUGGGCGGAAGCCUGAUGCAGCAACGCCGCGUGCGGGAUGACGGCCUUCGGGUUGUAAACCGCUUUCGCCUGUGACGAAGCGUGAAUGACGGUAAUAGGUAAAGAAGCACCGGCUAACUACGUG
rnacentral:rRNA from 1 species